AAGCUUCGAACUCAACAGUGGAGAUUGUUGCACAACAUUAUGAAUGUACUUAAUGCUACUGAAUUGUAUACUUUUAAAGCAAAGUGGAACCUAACAAGGUAUAACAUGGAAGGACUAAAUUUAGUGUACUAUCCUGGAUGGGAUACUGGGACAGCAAAAGGACAUUAGGUAAAAACCAAGGAAAUCUGAUAAAGUCCAGACUAUAGUUAAUAAUACACUUUCUGUGUUGCUUCACUAAGUUGAACAAAUGUUCCAUAGUAAUGCACAAGGUUAAUAAGCGGAAUUUGCUAUGGAGUGUACGAUUAUACUCUUCACAAUUAUUCUGCAAAUCUAAAACAUCUAAAGCAAAAAAAUUUUUCUAAAAAAAAAAAACAACAGAAAAUACUAGGGGAUGAGACCUGGAAGAUGACAGAAUUAAGCACUGAAUGGGGGUGGCCAUGAGGAAUGAUUUGGAGGGAACACUGGCUUCCUAACUUCUACACCACAAGAAUUGAGCCAGACAAGAUGAGGAAACAUGGAAAGUCAAAUUGGGAAGGCUCUUUAAUGGGUGUUGAGGAAGCACUCCCUUUCUCAAACCAGAGCACCUGGACUCCUUUGCAGCCUCCCCUCCCCCAUGGAUGUUCAUAAGUGGCGCUUUGUGAUGUCAACAAUGUCAGGGCUACCAUUGGCUGGAGAAAUUUCUUGCUGACCAAUCAAACUGCCAGUUGUGGCUCUUCAUGUCCUGGGAAGGUAUAUAUAGAGACGCCAGGCGCCUUGGUGUAGGCCACUGUUGCUACAACAUGGGAGGCCUACUUGAGAAAGUGGAGGAGGAGGAAACGGAAAUUGAGAUAGACAACAUCAAUUUGAAGGAAGAAGCCUCAAGCUCCACAGAAAGGAAGAGAAAUCAUUCUGAUCAGCCCAAUGGCUUGGACAAUACAAAUCCUCAUGGAGAAGAUAAAAGCAAUCCUUCAGGAGAAUCCGGACAGGAAUAUGAAAGAGACCUCGACGAUACUAAUCUUCUACUACCACCGGCAGAAUAA
rnacentral:lncRNA from 1 species